rnacentral:rRNA from 1 species
GACGAACCGUGCGAACGUUGUUCGGAAUCACUGGGCUUAAAGGGCGCGUAGGCGGGCUAUCAAGUCUGGGGUGAAAUCCCACGGCUCAACCGUGGAACUGCCUUAGAUACUGACGGCCUUGAGGAAGGUAGGGGCAUGCGGAACUGUAGGUGGAGCGGUGAAAUGCGUUGAUAUCUACAGGAACUCCGGUGGCGAAGGCGGCACGCUGGACCCUCCCUGACGCUGAGGCGCGAAAGCCAGGGGAGCGAACGGG